AUUGAACGCUGGCGGCAGGCCUAACACAUGCAAGUCGAGCGGAAACGAGUUAUCUGAACCUUCGGGGAACGAUAACGGCGUCGAGCGGCGGACGGGUGAGUAAUGCCUAGGAAAUUGCCCUGAUGUGGGGGAUAACCAUUGGAAACGAUGGCUAAUACCGCAUGAUGCCUACGGGCCAAAGAGGGGGACCUUCGGGCCUCUCGCGUCAGGAUAUGGCCUAGGUGGAUUAGCUAGUUGUGAGGUAGAGCUCACCAAGGCGACGAUCCCUAGCUGGUCUGAGAGGAUGAUCAGCCACACUGGGAACUGAGACACGGUCCAGACUCCUACGGGAGGCAGCAGU
rnacentral:rRNA from 1 species